GGCUUCGUAGCUCAGCCAGCAAAGCGCUUGCCGCGUAGAGGCAUGGUGUUUCUGUCGCUGAUUCGAAUCCAGCUGAAGCUC
rnacentral:tRNA from 1 species